GAUGAACGCUGGCGGCGUGCCUAAGACAUGCAAGUCGAGUGGGUUUAGGCCCACGGCAAACGGGUGAGUAAUACCUAGGAACUUGGCCUUAGUUGAGCAUAACCUACCGAAAGGUAGAGCAAUUCUCAAUGUGAUCGCAAGAUUAAAGUCGCAAGACGCUAAGGAAGAGGCCUGGGCACCAUCAGCUUGUUGGUAAGGUAAAAGCUUACCAAGACUAUGACGGUUAGGGGUCCCGAGAGGGAUAACCCCCACACUGGAACUGAGACACGGUCCAGACUCCUACGGGAGGCAGCAGUUUGGAAUUUUGGACAAUGGGCGAAAGCCUGAUCCAGCAAUGCCGCGUGUGUGAAGAAGGUCUUCGGAUUGUAAAGCACUUUCGGCGGGGACGAUGAUGACGGUACCCGCAGAAGAAGCCCCGGCUAACUUCGUGCCAGCCGCCGCCGUAA
rnacentral:rRNA from 1 species